rnacentral:rRNA from 1 species
UAGAUACCCUGGUAGUCCACGCCCUAAACGAUGUACACUAGUUGUUGGGGUGCUAGCCAUCUCAGUAAUGCAGCUAACGCAUUAAGUGUACCGCCUGGGGAGUACGGUCGCAAGAUUAAAACUCAAAGGAAUAGACGGGGACCCGCACAAGCGGUGGAGCAUGUGGUUUAAUUCGAAGAUACGCGAAGAACCUUACCUGGGCUUGAUAUCCUAAGAACCUUAUAGAGAUAUGAGGGUGCUAGCUUGCUAG